CCCAAGCAGGCUCUGUACUGUCAGUGCAGAUGGGGCUCGAUCUCACUAGAACCCUGAGAUCACGACCUGAGCCAAAAUUAAGAAGCAGAGGCUUAACCGACUGAGCCACCCAGGUGCCUCUGAAGCCUUGGUUCUUACAAUUCUGGGACUCAGAGAGAAUAAAAGCCCAAAUCAUCCCAUAGUUCCUCAGCAGAGCUGAGACUAGAAGCCAGGACUCCAUAGACGCUUUUAUUGCUUCCAUUGAUGCUUCUAACACUUCUGUGAUCCUUCAAUUCUAUUACAUUUAGUGGUCCUAAGAGCAAUACUAAUAUAUUACAGUGACAACAUUGAUAGCUGCGUGUCUACCACGUGCAAAGCAGAAUGCUAGGUAGUAUAAGACAUACGAAGAUGAACAGGAUAGGACUACUGGCCUCAGGUUUCUUAUACUCUGUGGGAGAUAGAUACACACAAAGAAGCAGAAUACAGAGUUCCAGGUCCCGUAGGGAAGGUACGGACAUGAAAGUCCCAAGCAUGCCUUCUUCUACACCCUGACGUUUUUUCUAUUUCAACACAAAAUAGUGCCGUUCCCUCAAUAAUACACCUGUUGUCGAGUGAGGCUGUGUGAGAAGCACUGUUCUAUGUCCUAGGAAUAUAGUGGUGAACAAACAACAGCCCCACUUUAAGGGAUCCACAUGUUAGGGGAGGAGGUAGAAAACAACAGAAUGGAAAUGUUGAAAAUGAAAGAUGAUAUAAUGAUAUAAUAGUGAAUGGCAUGGAAUUGGAGAGCCGGCAACCUGGGGGGCAGGGCGGGGAGUGUGAGGAAAAGUCUCUCUGAAGCAGUGGUGUUUGAGAGGAGCUUGAAGGAUAAGACGUGAGCCAUGGAAGAUCUAGAGUGAGAGUGUUCCAGGAAAAAGGACCAGCAGCUGUACAGGCCUGGGGGAGGAACAGGUUUGGCUUCUUGAGAAUCAGAAGGCUAGUGUAAGAGAGCAUAGCAGAAAAGGCAGAAAGGAGGAAAAUGAAGUCAGGCAGAGAAAACAUGUCCCGGGCCAUGUGAAUGGUUUAGAAUGUGAUCUCUUGUGAAUAAGCACUCAGGAACAACUUUACUGAUAAAAUGCAGAGAAUUUUAAGGAAUGAGGCUUUUUAGGUCUUUUGGUGAAGUGUCAUGUUUUCAUAGGUGAGAAAACCGAGUUUAUUAAUCCACGAGGUUUUACCCUGUGGGAGUCAGAAGACUCACGGGUUAUUACUCCCAGUGACUCGAAAUGCGCUUAGCAACCUGUUCGUGGCCUUUUUACAUAUAAUUCCUUCCCUUGUGAAAUGCACAGUGACAUUCUACGUCCCUCUGACUUCAGAAUGAGAGAGAUCUCAUUUCUCAGACUCCCUCAAGACCACCUGCCUUGUGUCUGGUCACAGACAGAUCCGUCAGCCUGGAAAACAGAAACUGUUUGGGCCGAAGAAAGUUUGUAUUUUGGAAACGAAAGCACUAGAUGCAGCGAACAGGCCGCCACGGUGGCACGUUACCCGGGCAGCGCCUUCCCCAGGCACGGGUCCCGGCACGGUCCCCACAGCUGCCCGCUUGCUCGCAACAGCUGUGCUAGAAUCAGGCGCGAGCAAGGGCCCCAGCCAUCUCCCCUUCUCCUGAACUUCUAAAAAAUACAAAAACUCGCAGAGCCGAGAGAGAAGCCAAUAAGAAGUAAGGAACAUGCAGCAGGUGGUACCAUCUGUGCCCGGCUAAUUCCAGCCAAAACAAUCUGCUCCCUAGAGUUCCCAGUUGUGGAGAAGGGAAGAGAAUCUGACAGUGGCGGAGCGGGGGAGGGGGUGUAGCAGGGCAAGUGCCGAGACUAUUAUUUAAACGUUCAGCUGGUUGGGAAGUAGAUUAUUGGUGCCAGUGAACUAUUAUCUCUCUCCGUUUCUUUUUACAACCACGGUGGGAGAUUCCUCCAAAGUCUCACUAAACUGGCAACUAGCGGAUCCCACACCUGUGAGACAGAUAUGUAGGCAUCACCGUGAGUCUGUCGCCACUGCGAUGGGAGGGACAGACAUUCCACAGCAAGACUGGGAAGCACAGCUCACCUCGAGAUGGAGAACGAGGUUGGGGGGAGGGAGCUUAUGUUUAUUUUAUUCUAUUUUCCUAGCAACCGAAUUCUCUCCCUCUCUCCUGUUGGUUCUUUGAAAAUCAUCCACGGUUUAGCAUGGGCUUGUUCCUCAGGCCUGAUUCCCCAGGCUGGCAUUUUCUGAAAUAAAAUUCUUUCCCUUGAUGGACUUCCUUGUGGGGAGCGCGUCUCCCCUGGCACACGUACAAUCACGGGAUGCUUAAAUGCAAGCAAUUCAAAGAUAGAUCAAAUCGUCUGUGGCAAUAACUUUCCCUUAAUAGAGUAACAGACAGACAGGGCCCGUGCUUCCCACAGACGGAGGCGUGGCAAUGACUCGAGGGUCACAGAAAGACCUGUCUACUAAAAAAGAAAAUCUAACCCACUGCAAUAUCCCCACCAGCACUUGAGGUGAAGGUACUGUCUCCAGAAAGUCAUCUGUAAAUGCAGAUACCUGCGAGAGGUGGUAUUUUUCUGUUAUCACCUUCCUUCAGAUGAAUGUGGCAAUGCAUAGCUGAGAGUUGAGCCCUGAGAAAGUGGGGCACAGGAAAGUUCACUCUUACUGGAAGAAGACAAGUGAAGGUCUAGAUUUUAGGUGCUAACCCAGAAGACCAGGACCUCAUGGGCCCUUGACAGAAGGGUAGGUGGGACCUGCUCCUAGCCGCCCCCUGCUUGGGCUGAAUUGUGUCCCCCCAAAAGGGAUGUUGUAGUCCUAACCCCUAGCCCCUAGGAUCGUGACCUGAUUUGGAAAUAGGGUAUUUGCAGAUGUCACCAAGGAUGGGCCCUCCUGCGAUAUGGAUGGUGUCCCUAUAAGAAGAGGGAAAUUUGGACACAGGCACCACGCCAGGUGAAAACAAAGUCAGAGAUUGGAGGCACGCAGCUACAAGGCAAAGAACGCCAAGGAUGUCGGCCGCCGCUGAAAGCUGGGAGAGAGAAACGGAGCAGAUCCCUCAGAAGGGAGCAGCCACGGCAACACCUUGAUUUGGGACGUCCAGCCUCCAGAACCGUGAGAGAAGAAAUUUCUGCUGCUUUAAGACACCCAGCUGGUGGUACUUUGUUGCGGGAGCCCCAGGAACUGAUACAUGCCUGAGGCAGCCACGGUCAGGGUGUCCGUAUUCCGUCUCUGGGUUGGUCUAAAAAUCAACAUCAAAUUUUGGUCUAACCAUUCUCUUGGUGCCUGAGCUUUACCAGAUAUGAUGAAUAUCGGCAGGAAUAUCCCUUUUGGUUUCGAGAUGCCUGUCAUCGGGAAAAAGACGAACGGCCUGUGCUUUUUCCCAAAUGUCUUCUAUAAGAAUGAUAUUCAAUAACCGGUAUGAAGUGAGUGCCUACUAUCUGCGUGAUGUGUUCUGAGCAAAAGGAAGAUAGAGAGCUAGACAGCUGAAGGUAACAAGGGCCACUCCACUGGCUUCAGGAGAAAAGAAGAUGUACAAGCUAGACUUCUGGCCCUGGACUUCUCUCUCACACCCUCCCCUCCAACUUCACACUGAAGCGCCAGCUGCCAUAUUUAAUGUGACCCAUACAUUUGGCCAAUAUGGAUGGAUCCAGCAACAAGCACAUACUCUUCACAUACUCUUUUCUCUUGUGUGCUUCCACACAAAAUAAAUAAAUAAAAAUUGUAUCCAGUACCACCAGUUCUCCUUGCUAU